CUCCUUCCCAAUCUCCAGCACCCACUUUGGAAUUGGUAUAUUCACGUCGUCACCGACGUUUCCUCCACAUUGAUGGAACGACAUCACAACCUGGUGAAACACAAUACCUGGAGCUUUAAGUCGGAUUCCUUGACAAUCGUAAAGAGUUCUCUGUAAGCACUCCAGUUGUAUUUUUGUGGAGUGUCUUCGACGAGUCCCCACCAACAGUCCACCAUAACUCCAUCGACAUUCACGGAUUUCAGAGCUUACCCAGCUAAGAAAAUGAAGCUCGUCAAGGAACAUAUGGAGUUCCUGCGAAAUCACGCUCCUCUUUCUCCUUGAAGAGAAAGCAGAAAAAUCAAACCAAGGUGAACAAUUUCAAUUAGCUUUACCUCUUCCUUGGU